GUUUACCUGUGCAGUGGCAGAGCGUCUGUCUCGUAAACAGAAGGUCGGCGGUUCAAUCCCGCCUGGGGGCA